UUAAGCGACUAAGCGUACACGGUGGAUGCCCUGGCAGUCAGAGGCGAUGAAGGACGUGCUAAUCUGCGAAAAGCGUCGGUAAGGUGAUAUGAACCGUUAUAACCGGCGAUGUCCGAAUGGGGAAACCCAGUGCAAUUCGUUGCACUAUCGUUAACUGAAUACAUAGGUUAACGAGGCGAACCGGGGGAACUGAAACAUCUAAGUACCCCGAGGAAAAGAAAUCAACCGAGAUUCCCCCAGUAGCGGCGAGCGAACGGGGAGCAGCCCGGAGUCUGAAUCAGCUUGUGUGUUAGUGGAAGCGUCUGGAAAGUCGCAGGGUACAGGGUGAUACUCCCGUACACUAAAACACACAGGUUGUGAACUCGAAGAGUAGGGCGGGACACGUGGUAUCCUGUCUGAAUAUGGGGGGACCAUCCUCCAAGGCUAAAUACUCCUGACUGACCGAUAGUGAACCAGUACCGUGAGGGAAAGGCGAAAAGAACCCCGGCGAGGGGAGUGAAAAAGAACCUGAAACCGUGUACGUACAAGCAGUAGGAGCCCCACCACCAAAGCGUUUCGCUUUGCGUGGUGCGCAAAAUGCGUAACGACAGCAUGAUGGACGGUUAACGGAGCGUCAGCGACGUUCAAC
rnacentral:rRNA from 1 species